UUUUCUUUUUUUGUUUUUCUAAAACAGAACUUUGACUAAACUUUCACUGGCUAUAACUUUUUAAAUAUAAGUCCAAUUGAUUUGAUUCUUUGUCUGUUGUUUCUCAAAUUCUGUCUAGUUUAUUUUUAUAUUUAUUUGAAAAUUUUCCAGACACCUUUUUUGUACUGUUUUAAAAUUAUGUGUUAAUUUAAAUUUCCUCAAAAUAGGAUUUUGGAGAGAGAAGAAAACUUUCAAAAAAGUUUUUGGGAUGCACCCUGCCUCUCCACAACUUGAAGGCAAGCAUUCUGAACCCUGGCAUAAUAUUUUUUUUGUGUGGUUACAACACCACCUUGAGAUGGAGCAUUCGUUAUUUUAUGUGACGAUACAAUCAUGCGCAUGAGUGAAUAAUGAAGAUGCUUUGCUGUUAGAGAUGGAUAUGCUUGUGAUAGUAAUCAUCUUCGUAUGCCUUUCAUGCCUACCGGAAGGAAGCCGGGAAAGUCUCUGUCUUGGGUAGACACGAGCUUGUCCCUAGUUCCUCGUCGAGACGAGUGUGUCCGGUAUGGCAUGAUGAGGUAUGAUGAGUGGUGAUUCUAUCUGUUUAUUGAAAUAUUUUUGUUAUGCUAACCAUGCAGGGAAUACUUAAACCUCCUAAGUCGACCAUAGAUCGAGUCUUGUUCCAGUAACCCCCAUACUUGUUUCCUACUACCACUUGUCCCUGCCACAAGUAGGGUACGGUUCAGUAAGUUGUCAACCCCUUCCUAGCACACACCGUACAGAGACGCCAUGGUGGAAGAUACCGGAGGCCACCGGUAGGCAUGCCACCUGGUCCGGGGGCAUGGGUGUUUCGGUUGUAGCCGAAGGGGUAGCUCCCCUAGUUUGCGCGCGGUAUAAAUUUUGUGAUCCCAUGCUAAGUCGAGGUUGUUGCCUCCCCACUUAGAGUUUUGCUUAAUGGGUGUCGUGGGUGAUUCCAGAGACCGGUAAGUUAGGCUGGUGUGUGAUGUUAGGUGUGUUUUCAAUUAAAAGACCGUAGACGGAAUUAGUCCCGAUGGACUAAAGGAAUCCGUUACGCGUGGGUAAAGAGUACACCCUCUGCAGAGAUUAAACAUCUAUUCGAAUAGCCGUGUCCAUGGUUAAGGACUACAGUCUGGGACGGGUCAAGUGUCGGUCUUAGUGUCGGUCUUCGGAGGAAAAACUGCUAAACCAGAACAUUGAUUAUGACCUGUGACACAUGAGGAUUAUGAUUAUUAUUAUUAUGGACUAACCAUUUACAUUAUUUGAAUUAUUGAGUAUCCCUGGGACGGUUCUACCUCCUGGAUACUCACUGCGAUUAUUCUCUUAUAAGCCCUUUAUGUGGUGUCGCUCAGACGCCCGACUGUGGCAUGCUUGUUAUUUAAAUUACUUAUAAGCCCUUUAUGUGGUGUCGCUCAGACGCCCGACUGUGGCAUGCUUGUUAUUUAAAUUACUUAUAAGCCCUUUAUGUGGUGUCGCUCAGACGCCCGACUGUGGCAUGCUUGUUAUUUAAAUUAAUUAUAAGCCCUUUAUGCGGUGUCGCUCAGACACCCGACUGUGGCACGCUUGUUAUUUUAAAUUAUUUAUAAGCCCUUUUUGUGGUGUCGCUCAGACGCCCGACUGAGGCAUGCUUUAUAUUAUUAUCCUUUCGAGGCGUCGCUUCAGACACCCGAUCGGUGCAUUCUAUUUCUGCUCCCUUAUUGCAUAUUCAUAUGAACAACCUGCUUGCAUGCAUCAUGGAUUUUUAUUUCGUGGCUGACGUUGUGAUCAUAGAAUAUUUCAGAGCAUGAUCAUCAUUUGUUAUAUUAUACCUGUGUUCAUAAUGUUUGCGAGUACAUUCAAAGUACUCACUGGCUUGUCCCUGGCUAUUGUCUUGGCCAGAAUUCUUGCGUGGAGAGGAGCGUUGCGACGACAGCCCCGGAACCUACACAAUGAUGAUAGCAGCCUCACAAAGAUAGGAGUUAUCCUGGUCAGCUGUUCCUGUGGGAAAUGGAGUCCCAUGGCCACUGAUGUACCACAAACCGCUUCCGCCAUCAACCACUAGAAACCAUUUGUUGUACUCAUAGGCCAGAAUGGUCUUGUACCACAUAUUUUGUAUUUUGCUAGGAAUUUCUGUAUCAAGUUGGUGCCUCAUCAGCUAACAGUAAUCCUGGGGCUGGUGAGCACAAGGACCAUUUUUGGGAAAUUGAUACCCCGAAAAUCCGGUCCUGACAAACUUGGUAUCAGAGCUAGGCUGACCAUUGGCUAAUCCUAUCUUAGCCAAGUCAAUAAACCUAGGUUAACCAACCCACCAGACCUUAACCUAACCCCGGCCAAGCUUCUCGUGUAAGAUAGCCACGCAGUGACCCCGACGCUUUUCGCAGUCGGUGCCCAACCUGUCAGCCUAGCCCGUCGAUCACGCGCCAGUGACCGACACCUAAAAUGUCUCAUUCGCAAGCGUGCAAAGGAAGACUCCGUCCCCUUUUUUCUAUAAAAAGGGCACGCUAGCCUCAACCCAGCACAACACAGCCUCUACCCCAAACCAAGCUAAAAUGCUUGGACCCAUUGUUCACAAUGAGACCACAGCAACCAACCUUGGAGGUUUUGUGACCGUGCUCGCAAACCUCACCCGCCGUGCCUAUGCAUUAGAAGAGCCCCCAGAAUAUGUUGUGUACCAUGGACCCAUGAGCGGUGAGAGCCGUCAAUUCUGGGCCACUGUACACAUCUAUGGUAGGGGUCUAUCGCCAGAACGCCCCUACAGGUUCACUGGAAGGACAACUUCCUUUGAGCCACAAGCCAUCCAGCUAGCAGCUCGAGAGGCUAUAGUUCAACUCCGGCACUUGUCGCCCAGAGUUAACUGUCGCUCAUUCUACUACUACCCUAGCCGUGAAGGGUAUGGUAGGCCGCCCCAGGUUGCCAACAGAGAUCACGAGACGGAUCCUGCAUUGUUGCAUCUGGUGCGCUAUGUAAGUGCACUAGAGGAACUGUUCGAUCAGAUCACCCUUGAUCUGAUCGCAGCUCGUGGAGAACUGGUUCGCCGAGCCCCGGCAAGAAGAGAAGAUGAGCCCGACGCCGACAACCCAGUCGUGCUGUUCGGACAACCGAUCGAGUCCUUGAGGACUGCCCCAGCCAUCGACCAAAAUGCUUUGGUGUCCCCAGAAGUGCUUCGUCGCCUUUUGGGAACACGCUCCAAUGGGAUUGUGGCCAACAACCCCCGCGAUGGUCAUCAUCGCUACCCCGACCCUGCAGCCCCUCAACCUCAUCCAGCUAAUCCCAACGGUGAAACCCGUGGAGAAGCCUCGACGUCCACAAGGCAAGCCCGCUUAGAUAUUAACGAAGUAGACUAAGUCACUCGAGUAGUACCGAGCCUUAGUAUUUCUACGCCUUGUAAUUGUGUGAUCAUGUAUCACCAUGAUUCAAUUUUGUCUGCUGGUGCGCCCCUAUAUUGUAAUAGUAGCCAUGCAUGAGUACGUUAGCGUACAGUUGCAUUUUUUUUAAAUUCCGGGCGCAGCUACCAAAAACCACCCCGACGACACCCACAGUGAUACAUCACUUUUGUGGGAUAUGUGGCAUUGACCCCGACCCCAUAGAGCAGAACCGACAAACUAGUUACCCUUCACCACGGUAAAUAACCCAGCCCCAAUGCUAUAUAAAAGGCCACCUCGUGACCUUGCCAAGCACCCCUCACCUUGUGCACAACUCUCACGGCCAUUUCCUUGCCAUGCCGACCCCCAGUAUUUAUCUGAGAACUCCAGACGCAACCUCGGGUAGUUUUGUUAAAAUAUUGUGGGAUUUUACCUGCAGUACCAUGAGUGCUAUCCAUCCACCCCAGUACGAGUUGCUCAAAUCGAGGAUCACCCCAUCCACCUCGAAAUAUUGGGCAGUGGUGCACAUCCCUCCCGCAAACCCAAACCAAGACCCAACGGAAGUCUCCUUCGUGGGGAAAUCCAUGCCGACUCCGCAUAUGGCCAUAGAAGCUGCUGCGUACGAAGCGCUUGCUCGUCUUCGAUUCGCGGUGCCCUAUGCCAGCGAACGAGGGUAUUAUUAUUUUCCGAGUCGUGCAGCACCCAGAGAAGUAGCAUCUUUUCCCGGUGGACGAAUCGAAAGAGACCCAGUACUGGCCAACCUUGCCCAGUAUGUUAUCGCUCAAGAGCAUUUGACUCAGCGGGUAAUGGGUUAUCUCCAGAGCCUCGCUGAUUUAAAUCCUCAGAUUGCCAUCGACAGACCACUGAGGCCCGACCAGGAGAGACGCAUCCAUCGACUAGUCAAUCCGCUUCCCCCGAUAGAAGAGGAGUGUGCCCCAAUACCAGAGACGUUUUCUCAGGACCCUGUCUAUUUACCGUUUUCAUUGUAGACAUCACUGCUAUGUUCAUUGUCCCAGCAUUUAUUUAUGCGUUGCAGCUUAUGCGUCGUACCCUAAGUUUGUGCUAUGAGUAAACUGUUUGGUUUCAGCUGGUAGGAGUAAUGUUUUCAAAACAGCCCUUAGCAAAUCUCGAGGACGAGAUUUUUCUUCAGGGGGGUAGUGUUGUAACACCCCAAAAUUUUGACCUUGAUUUAUUAAUUAAAAUUUUGCCAGGAAAUUAAAAAAUUUAUUUUCUGGUUUUAUGUGUUAAUUUCAGAUAACUCUGUCCCUCUGAAUUUUGGAGUUUUUCUUUCUAGAUGGAAACCUUUCAAAAAUAUUGUUGGACUUGUAUAUCUUCCCAAGACCAUUUCUUUUAUCAGUGGAAUUAUUUCUACAAUUAUUUUUCCUGAGCUUUAUUUCUUUAAAAAUGAUUUUUCAUUAGUUUCAGAGCUCUAUUUGCACUACAACUCUUUCAGAAAAUUCUUGAAAAUUUCAACCAAAAUUUGGGGAUGUCAUGUGAUGUUUCCACAUCACUUUUAUGCAAAAAUAUCUUUUGGUCAUUGGAGAUUUUGAGCUCUACACCAAAUUUUCAAAUCUGGUCCAGUAGGUAAUUUUGCACUACAACCUAUUUAAAUAUUUCUUUAAAAAUUCUUCCAAGUGUUUGGAGAUGUCAGUAGAUGCAUAUAAUUCAACUUUAUGCAAAAACCAUGAGUGUUCUUUGAAAAAUUUGAGCAAAUCAUCCUCUUUUGCUCUCUGGUCCAGUUUGGCUUUUUCUACUGCAACCCUAAUUUAGUUUGCUCUAGUGCCCAUGAGCUUUUUCCUGCUUGUAGUCCUCGCUACCAAACCCUUAAGUCCAGGAGAGUGGACCCAUUGGAGUAUUUUUGGUUCAUGCAAUUAUAGCCCUUACUUUCUGUCCAGUAUUGGUUUUCUCAAAAACUUGCUCUAACAAGUUCUUGCUUUUGACAAACUAACCUUGCCACCCUCUUUAUCAUCCAAAGAGACUAUGAUCUGGAGUUUUUGGCCACCCCAAGAGUUACCUAGAUGCCCAUGGCAUUCUGUCGAGCACCUUGUGUUCAUGGACAGCUUUGGCAUAGUUUUAUGUUUGCACUGUGAUCUUGCCCCUCUGGACAAACCAGCAUGUCCACUAGUCUCCUAGCCACCACUAACCUAGACCUGUCAACUACCAGCUUCAUUUAGGCCCUCUAGCACGCGUUGGCAUUUCGUCGAGCACCUGGCGUGUGUGCUCUGGGCGCGGCCAGAGUGCGCGUUUUGCACGUGCGUGCACCCGAGCCGCCGCGUCAUGCCCCUGGCCGUUGCUCGCCCGCAGAGCCGCGCCCGUCCUCAUCCGCUCACCAGAACCCUCCAAGCCCUCCCCUGGCACCCUACAGCACCGCCGUCAGGUCGGCCGUGGCCGCGAGCGGGCGGCCACAACAGCCCCUGCCAUGGACGGCGCCGCCCAAGCCACACACGCGCGCCAGCUGCCCCUGGAACAGCUCGAGCUCAUCCGCGAGCCCGUUAGCUAGCGCUCGUCACCUGGCUAGCAACAGAACGGCGGUUCGCUGGCGUGCUUAUCCGCAGCCGCGGGAACCGACCUCGACCGCCUAUAAAAUGAGCCCCCGAGCUCGUCCAGACCCUCAGGCGACCUCAGGCCAUCUCCCUAGAGCCCCCACAACCAGCAAUCGACGGAGGGAGGCCUUCCUCCUCGUCUCCGGUCAGUUCGGCCGCCGCCACACCCCGGUCCCGUCCGUCACGAGCAGGGCCUCCCUAGUCCUUCCAGCGCCACCGUCCGACUCCCCUCGACCAUACGGAACCACCCAACACCUCAGCCUCGACCAGGUGCCACCGUAGCACAAGCCCCCAAUUGCUCCCGAAACGCUGUCCGCCGUGAAGCUCGCCGCCGGCGAGUCCCUGCAUCCCCGCCAGCCUGUCGACCACAGGGAGGACCACCCUGGACUGGCGGAUCCAUCCCUGCCCUCGGGGCCCCGUGGGUAGCCGCCGUUCGCCGGCGUCGAUCGCCGGAGCCCCGCCAACGCUCGGCCAGAGGAGAAGGAGGCGCGGGCGACUGGUCAAACCUGACCAAUGGGCCCAAAGGACCCACUGUCAGUGACCCACGAGUCGACCCACGCUGACUUUAGUGGAAAUGUAUUCCACCGAAUACGCCUUCGCUAGGGGAAAACGUAAGCCCCCGAACCGUUUUCUUUUUCUGUUUUUUUUAAACAGAACUUUGACUAAACAUUGACUGGCUAUAACUUUUUAAAUAUAAGUCCAAUUGAUUUGAUUCUUUUUCUGUUGUUUCUCAAAUUCUGUCUAGUUUAUUUUUAUAUUUAUUUGAAAAUUUUCCAGACACCUUUUUUGUACUAUUUUAAAAUUAUGUGUUAAUUUAAAUUUCCUCAAAAUAGGAUUUUGGAGAGAGAAGAAAACUUUCAAAAAAGUUUUUGGGAUGCACCCUGCCUCUCCACAACUUGAAGGCAAGCAUUCUGAACCCUGGCAUAAUAUUUUUUUGUGUGGUUACAACACCACCUUGACAUGGAGCAUUUGUUAUUUUAUGUGACGAUACAAUCAUACGCAUGAGUG
rnacentral:lncRNA from 1 species